rnacentral:rRNA from 1 species
AAGAAGGGCAUUUGGUGGAUGCCUUGGUGUUGGAAGGCGAUGAAGGACGUAAUAGACUGCGAUAAGUCUCGGGUAGUUGUCAAUAAACUUUGAUCCGAGAAUUUCCGAAUGGGGCAACCCACCCGCAAGGGUAUCUACAACUGAAUACAUAGGGAGUAGAGGCGAACUUGGUGAACUGAAAUAUCUAAGUAACCAAAGGAAAAGAAAUCAAUUGAGACUCUCCUAGUAAGCGACGAGCGAACGGGGAUCAGGCCAAUGUCAUUUGUGUAAGAACUAGAAUAAACUGGAAAGUUUAGCCAUAGUAGGUGAUAGCCCUGUAUAGGUAGAAAGCACAAAUGAAUACGAGUAGAACGGGACACGUGAAAUCUUGUUUGAAUAUAGGGGGACCAUCCUCUAAGCCUAAGUACUAACCAACAACCGAUAGUGAACCAGUACCGUGAGGGAAAGGCGAAAAGAACCCUGAUAAAGGGAGUGAAAUAGAACCUGAAACCGAAUGUCUACAAGCAGUCAAAGCAGAUUUAUUCUGCGAUGGCGUACCUUUUGCAUAAUGGGUCAGCGAGUUAAUAUAUAAAGCGAGCUUAAGCCGAUAGGUGUAGGCGAAGCGAAAGCGAGUCUUAAUAGGGCGAUUUAGUUUUAUGUAUUAGACCCGAAACCGGGUGAUCUAGUUAUGGUCAGGUUGAAGGUGGAGUAAUAUCCACUGGAGGACCGAACUCAUUAUCGUUAAAAAGAUAUGGGAUGAACUGUGACUAGGGGUGAAAGGCUAAUCAAACCCGGACAUAGCUGGUUCUCCGCGAAAACUAUUUAGGUAGUGCGUCGUGUGGUUAUUAUUGGGGGUAGAGCACUGAAUAGGCUAGGGGGUCCAAAAGACUUACCAACCCUAAUCAAACUCCGAAUACUGAUAAAUAUAACACGGCAGACAGUCUGUGGGCGCUAAGGUCCAUGGUCGAGAGGAAAACAGUCCAGAUCGCCAUCUAAGGUCCCAAAAUCAUCAUUAAGUGGGGAAGGAAGUGAGAAAGCCAAAACAGCUAGGAGGUUGACUUAGAAGCAGCCAUCCUUUAAAGAAAGCGUAAUAGCUCACUAGUCUAAUUAAGCUUUUUUGCACCGAAAAUCUAACGGGGCUAAAAUGAUGUACCGAAGAUGCGGGUUCAUAUUUUGAAUAUGAGCGGUAGCGGAGCAUUCCGUAAGCCUGUGAAGGUGAACUGUGAGGUUUGCUGGAGGUAUCGGAAGAGAGAAUGCUGACACGAGUAACGAUAAACAGGGCGAGAAACCCUGUCACCGGAAGUCCAAGGUUUCCUACGUAAAGCUAAUCUGCGUAGGGUUAGCCGGCUCCUAAGGCAAGACCGAAAGGUGUAGUCGAUGGAAAUCAGGUUAAUAUUCCUGAGCCAGUGGGUGAGUGACGGAUUCCAAGUUUUGUAUGUUCUUAUUGGAUUGAGCAUGCAGGGUGAGGAGUUCCAGGAAAUAGCCCCCACAUUAAGGCCGUACCAAAACCGACACAGGUGGACGAGUAGAGUAUACUAAGGUGUUUGAGAGAACUAUCUUGAAGGAACUAGGCAAAUUACACCCGUAACUUCGGGAAAAGGGUGACCUAAUCUAGGCAACUAGAAAAAGGUGGCACAGAAAUGGGAGUGGCGACUGUUUAUCAAAAACACAGGGCUAUGCAAAAUCAUGAAGAUGAAGUAUAUAGUCUGACGCCUGCCCGGUGCUGGAAGGUUAAUUGAAGCGGUGCAAGCUGCGGAUCGAAGCCCCAGUAAACGGCGGCGAUAACUAUGAUCGUCCUAAGGUAGCGAAAUUCCUUGUCGGGCAAGUUCCGACGCGCACGAAUGGCGUAACGAUCUCUCCACUGUCUCCAAGAUAGACUCAGUGAAACUGGAUUCUACGUGUAAUACGUUGUACCCGCGGGUAGACGGAGAGACCCCAUGCACCUUAACUAUAACUUUACACUGAUUUUAGAUUUAUAUUGUGUAGCUUAAGUGGGAGACUUUGAAGCUUAGACGCUAGUUUAAGUGGAGUCAACAGUGAAAUACCACUCUAUGUAAGUUUGAAAUCUAACUAGAUGACAUGAUCUGUUAUUAGGACAAUGUAUGGUGGGUAGUUUGACUGGGGCAGUCGCCUCCUAAAGAGUAACGGGGGCGUGCAAUGGUAGGCUCAGACUGAACGGAAAUCAGUUUAAAAGAGUAUAAUGGCAAAAGCCUGCCUGACUGCGAGACUGACAAGUCGAGCAGAAACGAAAGUUGGUCAUAGUGACCCGGUGGUUCUGAAUGGAAGGGCCAUCGAUCAACGGACAAAAGGUACGCUGGGGAUAACAGGCUUAUAGUGUCCGAGCGCUCAUAGCGACGACACUGUCUGGCACCUCGAUGUCGGCUCAUCACAUCCUGGGGCUGAAGAAGGUCCCAAGGGUUUGGCUGUUCGCCAAUUAAAGUGGUACGUGAGCUGGGUUCAAAACGUCGUGAGACAGUUUGGUCCCUAUCUUCCGCGGGCGUUAGAAAAUUGAAAGGAGCUGCUCUUAGUACGAGAGGACCGGAGUGGACGUACCUAUGGUGUACCAGUUGUUUCGCCAGAAGCAUAGCUGGGUAGCUACGUACGGUUAGGAUAACCGCUGAAAGCAUCUAAGUGGGAAGCCUUCCUUAAGAUUAAUUUUCUCCAUUAGAGUCGUGGUAGACCACCACGUUGAUAGGUUGGAUGUGUAAGUGUAGUAAUACAUUGAGCUAACCAAUACUAAUAACUCAAUCGGCUUU